AUAAAUCUUUAAAAAAAAAACUCAGUUGAGUCCAGUUGCAAACAAAAGUGCCAGUUCUGGAGGUCACUAGUGUGGUCAUGAACGAUCACCACACCCUACACUAGAAAAGACAAUAUGCUUCACAGACAUUUGACCCACUUCUUCGUGAAAGUCCUGGGGUGCUUUGCCCAUAGAUUACGACAUCCUAUGGAAGUUGAGUGUCACCUUUACACCUCUAGAGACUUAAAUCUUAUUUGUACCUGCUUAUGAACUGCCCUGUCUGAAAAAUAUCUCCUAGCCUUUCUAGAUCCCACAGUGGAAGCAACCUCUGAUUCCCUAGAGCAACUUGCUCUAGGAUCUACAACAUUUUGUAAAGUUUAUGGGAAAGAACAAACCCUCUGAGCUUGGGAACGCACCAUCUACUUGCCAUGGUAAGCCCCCUGGCUAUAGCCACAACAAUCAGCAGUAUUCUGUGAGCCAAAGGCUGGGUUUAGGGAUGGCUCUUCAUAUCAAGGUUGUUAGAAUCAGACAUCCUCACUCCAUGCCAGUUGCCCUGGGAACACAUCCUCUCAGUCCACAAGCCAGAGAACCCAGAUUAGCUGCUGACCCAGGAUCACUGGAUCAUGAAGAAUCAUAUUGAGGCCAUCCAACUCUUCCUAACCUGUAUACUGCUUAGCUUCCUCCCAGCAGAUCAUCAGGUCCUGCACCUAAAGGAAAAUACCACCUCCAUUACCCUGGCAGCAGUGAGCCAGUUCAUGUUUGCCUUUGAGUAGACGGAUCCAGUGCCUGGUCAGGCCACCCCACCACCAACUGAGCAUGGCAGGAUUAGUUGCUCUAAACAUGACCUAGUUAAAGGAAAGAGGCUUGUCACAGGUGACUCAACACAGCUGCUGAUAUCAAACAUCUCCAGUUUUCCAAAGACAUCCGUGCCCAGCUGAAGCAGCAAUUCACUGUCUCAAGAUAUGAACUCCAUGUGCAAGUCAAGCUGUGGUGGUCCACGGCACACACCUGUAACCAGCACUAAGGAAGCAGAAGCUGGAAGGUUGCCUCAAGUUUUUAUGCUAGCAUAUUCUAAACAAGGAGAUUGUCUCAACUUCCCUCAGCAAAGAUGAGUGUAUACGAAACACAUUGCUGCCACUCUGUUAACCACUGUAUGUACUAGUUCUGCACUCACCCUUGUACAAAAGAACAUGCCAUUUGAUCUUUCUCUGUUAUUUUACAUGUACCAGUACACUAUAGCUGUCUUCAGACACACCA
rnacentral:sRNA from 1 species